CCGGUUUUGGUGAUGGUUUUCACAAAAUUGGAACGAUACAGAGAAGAUUAGCAUGGCCCCUACGCAAGGAUGACACGCAAAUUCGUGAAGCGUUCCAUAUUUUU
rnacentral:snRNA from 1 species